rnacentral:rRNA from 1 species
UACAGAGGGUGCGAGCGUUAAUCGGAAUUACUGGGCGUAAAGCGUGCGUAGACGGCUAUCUAAGUCGGGUGUGAAAGCCCCGGGCUCAACCUGGGAAUUGCAUUCGAGACUGAAUAGCUAGGGUACGGUAGAGGGAAGUGGAAUUUCCGGUGUAGCGGUGAAAUGCGUAGAUAUCGGAAGGAACAUCAGUGGCGAAAGCGGGUCUCUGGGCCGAUACUGACGCUGAGGAGCGAAAGCGUGGGGAGCGAACAGG